rnacentral:rRNA from 1 species
GACGAACGCUGGCGGCGUGCUUAACACAUGCAAGUCGAACGGAAAGGCCCUGCUUUUGUGGGGUGCUCGAGUGGCGAACGGGUGAGUAACACGUGAGUAACCUGCCCUUGACUUUGGGAUAACUUCAGGAAACUGGGGCUAAUAUCGGAUAGGAGCUCCUGCUGCAUGGUGGGGGUUGGAAAGUUUCGGCGGUUGGGGAUGGACUCGCGGCUUAUCAGCUUGUUGGUGGGGUAGUGGCUUACCAAGGCUUUGACGGGUAGCCGGCCUGAGAGGGUGACCGGCCACAUUGGGACUGAGAUACGGACCAGACUCCUACGGGAGGCAGCAGUGGGGAAUAUUGUACAAUGGGCGGAAGCCUGAUGCAGCAACGCCGCGUGCGGGAUGACGGCCUGCGGGUUGUAAACCGCUUUCGCCUGUGACGAAGCGUGAGUGACGGUAAUGGGUAAAGAAGCACCGGCUAACUACGUG